AUCAACACUUCCUUUAUGAAGAAUCAACUCCCAUGCAUUGCAUCGACCCAAUAUUUUUUGGGGGGGUUUAUUAUUAGUGUCUCAUAUAUUUUUAAAACCACGGAAGGAGAGUAGAUUUUGGGCAUGAUAAUACUCAUAAUAUCAAAUUUAUUUUAGACAAUAGAACCAUUAUAGUGUUUUUUUAUUGGGCUAGAAGGAUAGAUUGAGAUGUUUACAUAAGUAUUAUGUCUGAAAUUUCCAGCACUCUCUAGAGUUUAUUUACAUUAGAUAUUUAAGCAUUAUUGAAGGGUUUUUAUUGGGAGUAUUAGUUUUCAGCUUUGAGGAUUUAUUUACUAGUUGUUAGGGUUUUUUUUGGAGGAGCUGAAACAUCACUUUAAGGCACUCUUCCAACAAAUAUCAAAUGAGUUUCAUAUGCUUCAUAUUCUAUGUACUUAUGUACAUGCUUCCUGCUUUAAAGGUUAGUGGUGUGAAUGCUUAUGAAUGUGCUUACUGCCUUGCCCUUAUUUAUGUACUUUGCAUGUGUACUUCAUACUACAUGUGUAUUCAUUUGAAAGUUGCUUGCCCUAAGUAAACAAUUGACAAUGUAAUUCGAAUAAUAUUAUAGUGAUGGGAUUCUUCGCCUUUCUCUAAUACUUGCAAAGAUAGGGAGUGUGUGGGGGAAAGGAAGAGUAAAUCAGUCACAUGGCGAAAAUUUCCCAAGACGGGUAGCAAACCUUGAGGGAGUCGCAUGUAGAUUGAUUCAUGCGCCCUUGGCACAAUAAAUCCUCCAUCUUGUAAAGUUUAGCAGAAUAGGGAAGACGGGUCUCAUGUAUCUAUGGGAAGUAAAUCAUUGUGGUUCUACUUUUGGUUGAUCUAGAAUAGUUCCAAAGAUAUAAAUUGAUUGGUAAAUGUGGAUCAAUCCAAUGUGCUUUAGACUACAUGCUUACUCCAUGUAUACCCUUCAUAUGUGUUCUUGUGUUUGCCUCACGCUUGUUUACUUCAUGAGGAUAUUUCACAUGUAUGUUUAAUGUCUGCUUGGUGCAAUAGAGUGUACUAUUUCAUGCUUUACGUGCUUGAUAUAUUAAUUUCCUUAUGCUUGACACAUGUACUUCGUGCCUUACGUGCAUCCAUGAUUCAUGACUUGCAACUAUCCAAUGAGCGUUUGUUUCAUAUGCUUUAAAAACAUUUGUAUGCCUUGAAUGGAUGCUCAUAUAUUUGUAUGUAUGCUUCAUGUCCUAUGUGAUUUAUGUGUAUUCAUAUUAGUGUUUCAUACCUUAUGUGUAUUCAUAUGUAUGAUUAUAACAUAAGUAUUUUCAUGUGUAUGACUCAGACCAUGUGUAUAUUCAUGCCUUGCAAUGUAUAUGCCUAAUGUCUUGCUCAUAUCUAUGUGUCGUACAUGUAUAACGUAUACUUCAUGUGUUUUCAUGUGAAUGCCACUUGCCUUGAGUAUAUUCAUGUGUAUUCUCUAUGCCCUAUGUGAUACUUUAUGUUUUAUGUGUGUACUUAUUGCCUUAAGUGUAUACUAUGAGCUUUAAGGUUAUUCAUGUGCAUUAUACAUGUUUCUCUUAGAUAUAUGUUUCAUGUAUAUUUGCAGAUAAGUAUGUGUUUUCUAUAUUUAUUCCAUUGAUGGUAGGGAUUCAAUUCUUCUUCUUUCUCUAAUACUUACAGAGAUAGGGAGUGUGUGGAGGGGAGAGGUAGAGUAAACCGAUCACAUGACGAUAAUGCCCUAGAUGGGUAGAAAAUCUUGCGGGAGCCGUAUGUAGAUUGUGUCAUGUGCCCUUGGCACAAUAAAUCUACCAUCUUGUAAGAUAGAGGAGAAUGAGGAAGAGAACACUCGUGUAAUACAACAAGAUUAACAACUAUUCACCAUAUUUGAUAAUAUUUUAACAUUUCA